GCCAGCUGUAAACUCUUAGAAAUUUUAGCUGAAGUAAGAGAAUUGAUUUACAUGAUCGUAGCCUACACAUCAUUUAGCAGCUGUCAAUUUCUUUGGUAUUGCAUUGUUUGAAAGCUGAAAUUCUGCUAAUGCUUUAAAUAGUAACUUGCUUGUUUGUUCCAGACAGUAAUAAUAAGAAAUGUUUCUUUUGCAAAAUUUGCGGCUUAG